rnacentral:miRNA from 1 species
CAAGUGUAACAGGACAACCUGU